GUGCUCGCUUCAGCAGCACACAUGCUAAAACUGGAAACAUACAGAAAAGGUCAGCAUGGCCCCUGAGCAAGGACAACAUGCAGAUUCAUGAAGCAUACCACAUUUAA
ensembl:snRNA U6 U6 spliceosomal RNA